rnacentral:rRNA from 1 species
AUUGAACGCUGGCGGCAGGCCUACACCUGCAAGUCGAGCGGAUGAAGGGAGCUUGCUCCUGGAUUCAGCGGCGGACGGGUGAGUAAUGCCUAGGAAUCUGCCUGGUAGUGGGGGAUAACGUCCGGAAACGGGCGCUAAUACCGCAUACGUCCUGAGGGAGAAAGUGGGGGAUCUUCGGACCUCACGCUAUCAGAUGAGCCUAGGUCGGAUUAGCUAGUUGGUGGGGUAAAGGCCUACCAAGGCGACGAUCCGUAACUGGUCUGAGAGGAUGAUCAGUCACACUGGAACUGAGACACGGUCCAGACUCCUACGGGAGGCAGCAGUGGGGAAUAUUGGACAAUGGGCGAAAGCCUGAUCCAGCCAUGCCGCGUGUGUGAAGAAGGUCUUCGGAUUGUAAAGCACUUUAAGUUGGGAGGAAGGGCAGUAAGUUAAUACCUUGCUGUUUUGACGUUACCAACAGAAUAAGCACCGGCUAACUUCGUG